rnacentral:misc_RNA from 1 species
AACUUUUGGCAAUGGAUCUCUUGGUUCUCGCAUCGAUGAAGAACGUAGCAAAUUGCGAUAAGUCGUGUGAAUUGCACAGUGAAUCAUUGAAUCUUUGAACGCAUCUUGCACCCAUCGGUAUUCCGGUGGGGACGCCUGUUUCAGUGCUUUAAACAACCUCACAAGCCCCUAGGGCUUGGUCAUGGGCUUUUUCCUAUCCAACUGGAGAAGGAUGGCCUCAAAUUGAAAACAAACCGUUUUGAUUCUUUUUGAUUCUCUACCGAGACUUCUGCGGCUUGAUAAGUUGGGAAACUAAUUUCCGGUUAAUUAGCCACAACGCGUGUCGGUGUAGUCAAAAGAGUGAGAAAGGUCGCAACCACCACUACUUUUUCAUUUAAGCCUGAAAUCAGGUGGGAUUACCCGCUGAACUUAAGCAUAUCAAUAAGCGGAGGCU